CAGGAGCCAACUGGAGACAGCACCUUAAGCCAGGGCAUGGCCAGAAUGGAGAGGCACCUGUCUCUCCCAAGGCUUUCCCGACGACCUGCCAGGGUUGUGUCACAGCCUAGCUCCACUGUCUGAAUGAAUCUUCCAGCAUCUUUGAACUGAAGAGAAUUCUCCCCAGACAGCAAUGGAAGGUGUGGGCUGCAGACACCUCCCAUGGACGUGGGAAGGGUUCAGCCUUCAGGACAGGGUGCUACCAACUGGACCUCUGCAGAGCUUGCAAAUUGGGAAUGGAAACAUUAAUCUCUAUCUAUUAAAGGAGUUUUCAAAGUACA